rnacentral:lncRNA from 1 species
CAACUCACAGAGCUGGGAAGCCUCGCGGGCUCCGGGGAGAGACCGCCGACGGUGGUGUCUUCUGCAGGUCUGUGCGUCUGUCUGUCUCUGUCUGUCACUCUGGCAUCUUACGAGUUCCUUUCCCUUUCGCUCCCGGCGGGCGGCAGCCUCUCGCUGGCUCGCAACUUUGGGGAGUUUCAAGCAGCCUUGGAGGCGGCGGCAGCAACCCCGGGCGCAGGAAACGUCUCCGCCGGCUCUGGUUGGCUCUCCUGGGCUCUCUUCAUGGCUGGGCUGAAGGUAAUGAGAGGCCCUGAGAUCCCAGAGGGACCAUAUGAGAAUUCUGGACAGUGCUGAAGACUCUUACUUCCUGCAGACACGUGAGUUUCUCUCCUUUGGUCUUAUGAUAAAGUAGGUUCAGCUAAGG